UGUAAUCGAGAGGAGGCACAGUCAGGCAGGAUGGAGCCUGCCCCAGCCCAUACUUCAUCCUGGCAGAAGGCUUCCUUGGGGCUGCUGUCCUCCGCGCCAGGGGUUCCAGCUCUUACAGCGUGGAUGGGCCCAGGACAUGGGAAUGGCCCGUAAGGAGCUGGAGGGAGAAGGUCAUUGGGAUCAGGCAGAAGUGUCUACGCACCAGGCAGGAGCUCCUCACCCCCACCUCCACCCCGUCUGGGGCUGCCAUGGCAACACAGAAGUUGGCUUGCCAUCUGCUGUCUGUGGGGACCCCAGUCGGGCCUCUGCCAUGCUGAGGAUUACUGUGGGAAGACAGCUGACUUGUUCUGGGACAGUCAUUGGCCACAUCUGGUGCUUCUCAGCCCUGGAGUGUUUGGACAUAAUGAAGUCUGGAGUCCCUCAGGCUGCUUGCUGGAGAAGAGUGGACAACAAAAAAGCCCGUGUUUCCCCCUGCACAGCCUCUUCCAGGGGAGGGUUGAGGUUUAUUCACACUUAAAGGUGCAUGUUUAACCCCGGUGGCAAGGCAGGGAGUCCGAGGAUACAUAGAAACCUGGCCUUCAGUAGUAAUUAGAAGCUUAAGUUAAUAGAUCAUCAAAAGGGACGAUUUUGGAUAUGGGAUGUAGGAUGUAUGAAGUGUGCGUGCGCGCGCGCGCGCACACGCACGCCAGUGCAUAGGAAUGUGUGCCUAUGUGAAGGCCGGAGGAGGUUGUCACGUGUCUUGCUCCAUCAUCCUUCACUUUGUUCCCUUCAGACAUGGUUCUUCACUGAAUCAGGAGCUAGACUGGCAUCCAGAAAGCUAGAAAACCAGUAAUCCUCCUGCCCCUGUCAUUUGCGUUAAGGGGGCCCAUGCCCCACUUGUUUUCAUUUUAACUUGAGUCCUGGGGGUUUGAGCUACCUCCUCAGCCCCUAAACCAAUGUAAACAUUUUUUCUAACAGCUUUGGGUUAUAGUGGGGUACUAAGCUUGUCCCUGAGCAUUUUAAUGAGGUGCGGGAGGUGCCUACACCCAGUUUGACUUGCAUCUCUGAGGCCUUCGCUUCUGCUGUGGAGCUCAGCUUUCCACCUGGCAGAUUCUCCCCACCCCACUGCUGGCUCCUC